CAAGAUCUUGAACCCAUGGGGGUUAACCACUCUUAAAUUGCCUGUCUAGACAUGCCCCUGUCUCAUCAUCUUAAUUCAGAAAUGUUGGGGAUUGGAAAGAGUUUGGAUAUUGGUUUCAGAUUAAGGCUUGAGGUGGCAGACAUCUUCACACUUGAGAGUUCCCAUGAGGAAAGGAGUAUAUUUAUCCACAGCAGUUUGAUAAUUGCUCUCAUGGGUGCUACUGUGUGCCUACAGCAUCAACUACUCUAUCUCCAAUAGUCAGAAAUUGAAAUUAAAAUAUUUAAAGAAAUCAAGUUUAAAUGGAAUUAAAUGAGAAAUGUUUUCAAACAGCUUUUUAAAAAAAUAGGACCUUGAGGAGCUCAGUUGGUUUAGGAGAACUGAGCCUGGCAAGCCUCUUGAAGCCUUUUCUACUGUGUGUUUCUUUUUCAGUGACUAAAGAGCUAAUGGACUAAAGGACUAAGGACUAAAAAGACUAAAUGGACAUGGUUAGUCUUGGAGGCCAUCUUGGGAGUUUCUCAGUCCUUAGCUGAACUAUAGAAGUGUCCCUUAUAACACUUCUUAGAGGACAAAAUGACCACCAACAAGCAGAUUUGCUCAAGCUCUAGCUUUGCUUGCUGGAAAACCUGAAGGAAACUGUUCUGUUCAGACCUGAAGUAAAAUAGGAAAUAUCUAUUCAGCAACCCUGAAAACUAUAUAUCAUGUCUUCAUGUUUUAAGUACUAACCUCCCUGUAGAGUAUGUAAUAGUAAUGAUCUUAUUGCUGCUGCUUGAAUUACACUUAGAAGGAACAGUGACAAAUUGUAUAGGAUGAAAUGCCAAGACAUAAAUAGGUAUAUAGAUAUAUGGAUGCAUUAAUACAUACAUAUGUAUAUAUAUAUAUACAUAUAUAUAUACACACACACACACAACUAGAGUUUAAAAAGAGGUUAAUACUAAAAGAAUUGGGAAAAGAAACAAAAGGGGUAAAUAUCAAAGAACAUAUACUUUAUUCAUAGAAUAAAAGUCUGAAGUCCUGGGUUCU
rnacentral:lncRNA from 1 species